GACGAACGCUGGCGGCGUGCUUAACACAUGCAAGUCGAGCGGUAAGGCCCUUUCGGGGUACGACGAGCGGCGAACGGUAGAGUAACAACGUGGGUGGACCUCGCCCUUACGUCUCUGGGAGUAAGACCUGGGAAACGUAGGGUCGUAAUACCGGAUAUGACCUCAUGACGCAUGUUGUGGGGUGGAAAGACCUUGUGCGGCUAGGAGUGGGCCCGCCGGCCUAUCAGCUUGUUGGUGGGGUGAUGGCCACCAAGGCGACGACGGUAGCCGGCCUGAGAGGGCGACCGGCCACACUGGGACUGAGAC
rnacentral:rRNA from 1 species